rnacentral:rRNA from 1 species
AGCAGUCUCCACGGGAAAACGAAGGGAGCUAGCGUUAUUCGGAAUUACUGGGCGUAAAGCGCACGUAGGCGGCUUUGUAAGUAAGAGGUGAAAGCCCGGAGCUCAACUCCGGAACUGCCUUUUAGACUGCAUCGCUUGAAUCCAGGAGAGGUGAGUGGAAUUCCGAGUGUAGAGGUGAAAUUCGUAGAUAUUCGGAAGAACACCAGUGGCGAAGGCGGCUCACUGGACUGGUAUUGACGCUGAGGUGCGAAAGCGUGGGGAGCAAACAGGAUUAGAUACCCCUGUAGUCCCUGUCUCUUAUAC